CACGUAGGGGGCGAGCGUUGUUCGGAAUUACUGGGCGUAAAGGGCAUGUAGGCGGUUAUGUAAGCCUGGCGUGAAAGUCCACAGCUUAACUGUGGGAUUGCGUUGGGAACUAGAUGACUAGAGUUACGGAGAGGGAGCUAGAAUUCCUGGUGUAGGGGUGGAAUCUGUAGAGAUCAGGAAGAAUACCGAUGGCGAAGGCAAGCUCCUGGCCGAUGACUGACGCUGAGGUGCGAAAGUGUGGGGAUCAAACAGGAUUAGAUACCCUGGUAGUCCACACUGUAAACGAUGUGCACUAGGUGCUGGGGCGGAUGCUUCAGUGCCGUAGCUAACGUGAUAAGUGCACCGCCUGGGGAGUAUGCUCGCAAGGGUGAA
rnacentral:rRNA from 1 species